rnacentral:lncRNA from 1 species
UUUAGGCUCCCUCUCUCUACUCUCUCUCUAAGUAUCUUGUAUAAACUCUCUCCUUUGUAAUUCUUUUGAAGAUUUAUACAUUCGAGAAUUCAACUAAAUGGGCCGUCGGCCUUAAAGGUAUUUAUUUUUCUUCUGUCUUAUUUUCUUUCUCCUCUCUCUAAGCCGUGAUGAUGUUCGGCUGAGAAUAUUCAUGUCUAUGAAAGAUUUCUAACUUCCUUUACUUAUUAACUAUGAAAGAUCUAGACUUAUCAAAAUAUGAAGAAAUUUUAUUGAGAUUUUUGGCUUGGUUCCGAGAUGGUGGUACAGCCAGAUUCAAUAUUUUUUUUAUUGUCUUUGACUUAGUGGCUUCGUCUAACAAGCUAUGACAUCCAGCCCGUUUAGUUUUGUGUGUUAAGGGUAUUUUAGUCAUGGUCAGAACCGUUAGACACAUGGGUUCAAUAAGAAAAGCUAUCGAAUGUUGAUAGGCCCCUUGCUUGGGUAAAGGUUACCAUAUAGUCAUUAAACUCUAUAAAAUUCCUCUAUAUUUCGACUAUAAGAUUUUAUGCGGAUUAUCGCCAGUCCUUAAAGCAUAGUUAUUAAUUGCUGAAUCAAAGUACGCGCCGUGCGGAUUACCGCCAGCCCAGACCAAGAUCAUGCUGAAUCAAAGUAGUAAAAUUUGCAUGUAGUAGCUACUGUUUAAUGCUGUAUUUCAUUUUUAUCCACUGAUUAAAAUACUUAUCAAAAAUAGCCACUACUAAGGCGGAAAAGACAUAAUUACCCUUUCUCUAUAUCGAUUAUAAUCCCAAAAUUGUCCCAAACCUUUAUUUUCAUUCAGACGAUAGCGGUUUCAGGCUUUCCUCUUCUCUGCUUCUUCAUCUUCCUUGCUUGCUAUCUGCAAUAUUCAGUUAAAGUUCUGCUCCUUCAUCUUCUCUGUCAUCUACUACGUCUACUUCUGUCAAUCGUGACUGGUAAUUUUUUUCUUUUAUGCAUUUUCGUUUUUCUUUAUGUGUAAGUUGGUUCAAUUCCUUGUGAAGUAUGUUUGAUAUUUCAAUAAUGAGCAUAUUAUGUUGAUUCAGUGUCGUAUAUGCUGUGUGAAGUAUGUUUGAUAUUUAAAAAUGAGCAUAUUAUGUUGAUUCAGUGUUGUAUAUGUAGUCUGAUUCUGAUUUUGAUAAUUUUUUAGUCUGUGAAAGUUGAAAUUUGUUUGUGGUUGGUUCAAUCUAUUUGAUUAUGCAGUGAUAUUUCAUAAAAAUAGUUGUAGAAAUUCAUAAGCUUACUGUGUUUAUGAAUUUUUAUCAAUGCUGUGUGAAGUAUGUUUGAUAUUUAAAAAUGAGCAUAUUAUGUUGAUUCAGUGUUGUAUAUGUAGUCUGAUUCUGAUUUUGAUAAUUUUUUAGUCUGUGAAAGUUGAAAUUUGUUUGUGGUUGGUUCAAUCUAUUUGAUUAUGCAGUGAUAUUUCAUAAAAAUAAUUAUAUAAUUCAUAAGCUUACUGUGUUUAUAAAUUUUUAUUUAACCGUGUUAAUGAUGUAUAAGGAGGAAUCGUAAUUAAAUGUGAAGGUGGAACUCAAAGUUAAGGACUGAUUGUCCUUAACUUUUGCACAUGAAACUUGAAGUUUAGG